UACGUAGGGUGCAAGCGUUGUCCGGAAUUAUUGGGCGUAAAGAGCUCGUAGGCGGUUUGUCGCGUCUGCUGUGAAAUCCCAGGGCUUAACCCUGGGCCUGCAGUGGGUACGGGCAAACUAGAGUGCGGUAGGGGAGAUCGGAAUUCCUGGUGUAGCGGUGGAAUGCGCAGAUAUCAGGAGGAACACCAAUAGCGAAGGCAGCUCGCUGGGACGGUAUUGACGCUAAGGCGCGAAAGCGUGGGGAGCAAACAGG
rnacentral:rRNA from 1 species